AUAUUAAUAAGCGGAGGAAAAGAAACUAACAAGGAUUCCCCUAGUAACGGCGAGUGAAGCGGGAAGAGCUCAAACUUAAAAUCGGGAGGUCCUAGCGGCUUUCGAAUUGUAGUCUAAAGAGGUAACAUCAGUGUGCGUCCUGGGUAUAACUCCUUUGGAACAGGGGAUCAUAGAGGGUGAGAAUCCCGUCUUUGACUCAGCGUACGCCACGUACGAUGUGCUUUCAACGAGUCGAGUUGUUUGAGAUUGCAACUCAUGAAUA
rnacentral:rRNA from 1 species